rnacentral:rRNA from 1 species
AUUGCACGCUGGCGGCAGGCCUAACACAUGCAAGUCGAGCGAGCGGCGGCCGGGUGAGUAAUGUAUGGGCAACUGCCUGAUGGAGGGGGAUAAAUACUGGAAACGGUAGCUAAUACCGCAUAACAUCAGAUGUGCCCAGAUGGGAUUAGCUAGUAGGUGGGGUAAAGGCUCACCUAGGCGACGAUCCCUAGCUGGUCUGAGAGGAUGACCAGCCCCACUGGAACUGAGUCCCGGUCCUGACUCCUACGUGAGGCAGCAGUGGGGAAUAUUGCACAAUGGGCGCAAGCCUGAUGCAGCCAUGCCGCGUGUAUGAAGAAGUCCUUCGGGUUGGAAAGUACUUUCAGCGGGGAGGCGUUACCCGCAGAAGAAGCACCGGCUAACUCCGUGCCAGCUGCCGCGGUAAUUC